UACGUAGGGGGCGAGCGUUGUCCGGAAUUAUUGGGCGUAAAGAGCUCGUAGGCGGCUUGGCAAGUCGGAUGUGAAAACUCCAGGCUCAACCUGGAGCCGCCAUUCGAUACUGCUAUGGCUAGAGUCCGGUAGGGGAGUGUGGAAUUCCCGGUGUAGCGGUGAAAUGCGCAGAUAUCGGGAGGAACACCGAUGGCGAAGGCAGCACUCUGGGCCGUAACUGACGCUGAGGAGCGAAAGCAUGGGGAGCGAACAGG
rnacentral:rRNA from 1 species